UCGGGUUGUAAAGCACUUUUGUCCGGAAAGAAAACUUCGGCCCUAAUACGGCGGGAGGAUGACGGUACCGGAAGAAUAAGCACCGGCUAACUACGUGCCAGCAGCGCGGUAAUCGUAGGGUGCGAGCGUUAAUCGGAAUUACUGGGCGUAAAGCGUGCGCAGGCGGUUCGUUAAGACAGAUGUGAAAUCCCCGGGCUUAACCUGGGAACUGCAUUUGUGACUGGCGAGCUAGAGUAUGGCAGAGGGGGGUAGAAUUCCACGUGUAGCAGUGAAAUGCGUAGAGAUGUGGAGGAAUACCGAUGGCGAAGGCAGCCCCCUGGGCCAAUACUGACGCUCAUGCACGAAAGCGUGGGGAGCAAACAGGAUUAGAUACCCUGGUAGUCCACGCCCUAAACGAUGUCAACUAGUUGUUGGGGAUUCAUUUCCUUAGUAACGUAGCUAACGCGUGAAGUUGACCGCCUGGGGAGUACGGUCGCAAGAUUAAAACUCAAAGGAAUUGACGGGGACCCGCACAAGCGGUGGAUGAAUGUGGAUUAAUUCGAUGCAACGCGAGAAACCUUACCUACCCUUGACAUGGUCGGAACCUGCUG
rnacentral:rRNA from 1 species